CCUUGGGUAGUUUAAAGAAAACGAAGUUUUGAAGCGGCUAAGUUGGCUUGAGGGGCCCCCGAGGG